AUGGGAUGCAUUGGGAAUUCGAUACAAACAACAGGGACUUAGAGAGACUCCAGUUGAGGCAAAACUGGUGAUGUUAGGCUCGGAGGAAUUAGCGGUGUAAUUGGUUGCUUUCCUUUAGUUCAUUCUAUAGGCUGGAGUCUCCCAGGUUAGAUUAGCUCUCUCAGAUCAUAUUAGCCUUGGCUUGCAAGAGGCAUAUGGUAGUAGAUGCCUAAUGUGAUUAUUGUUGGCAAUAGACCUCCGAACGUCUUCCGGGCAAGCACCAAGAGUUUGGCACCGCAAAAGGCUGCUACAGUAACUCAAAACAGAGAAGAGCGCAAGCAGUGCAAAAUGCAGGACUGAAGAAUUUUCAGAACUGGACACGAGAUAGCUAGCAGAAGUUUUUGGGGGCAAUUUUCUGUU
rnacentral:lncRNA from 1 species